GAGCACUCAGAGAGAAUACAAAGCAUAGUGCUACAGAGCUGAAGCCAACAUCCAAGUAAUGGUAUUUGGAGGAAGCUUCCCCCAGUGGCAGGUCACUCCACAGUUGUUGCUGUCAGGUUUCCUUGUGCUCUCUUCCAACACAUCUGCAGUGAGCCAGGGUCAGGGCAGGACCUGGGGUGGGCACACUCUGAGCCAAGGGGGUAAAUAGGGGCCUAGAGGAGGUAUAGCAGAUGGCAGACAUCCCAAACACCCUUCCUGGGCAGCCCCAGUGCACCCAUCUGCAGCCUCCUCUGCCACCAAACUUGCCUGGAACCUUCCCUAUGUCAUACUUCUAGCUUCUCCAAAAAUGAUCCCACUCCUGAGCUUUGCAUCACAGUAUCAUAUAGUAUCCAGUAUCCAGUUCUGGAGCCGCCAACACAAGACAUGGAGCUGUUGGAGUGGGUCCAGAGGAGGGCCACAAAGUUGAUCAGAAGGCUGGAGCACCUCCCCUACAAGAACAGACUGAAACAGCAGAGGCUCUUCAGCCUGGAGAAGAGAAGUAUCUGAGGAGACCUGAUAGCAUCCUUCCAGUACUUGAACGGGGCAUUCAGGAAAGUUGGGGAGGGACUUUUUAUAGGGCAUGUAAUGACAGGACAAGGGGAAAGGUUCUAAACUGGAAGAGGGUAGAUUUAGACUAAAUAUUAGGAAGAAAUUCUUUACUCUAUGAGGGUGGAACAGUGGAACAGGUUGCCCAGUGAGGUUGUGAAUGCCCCCUCCCUGAAAGCAUUCAAGACCAGGCUGGAUGGGGCUUUGAGCAACCUGGUCUAGAGAGAUGUCCCUGCCUACAGCAGGGAGUUGGAACUUGAUCUUAAAGAUCCCUUCCAACCCAAACCAUUCUGUGAUUCUAUGAUCAUAUUUCCUUGAAUCUUUGUAGUAAAUCUUGUAGUUGAGGCAAAGUUUUUCAGUAUGUUCUUUUUCAGAGACUAAAAAAAGAAACGUAAAACCUUUCCACAAUCCAAUUUAUUGUUGUACAUCUUGUGGAAUGACCCCAAGAAAACAAAUAGGUAAGCAUGACUAUAUUUGUUAGUCCGAAUCAGCGCUUAAAUGUGAGCUCAGUUUUGAAGCACAGCUUCAUCAUAGAAGGAGUAAAGAUUUGUUCAGCACUAAAACUGGGGCAACUUUUUGCCAGCAUAAGGAAGUUAGUCAGUUAAAUCCCUUCAAAAGCAUUACUGUUCCUUAAGAGAUGUAAGAAGCUGCCAUCCUUCCUUUUGGACAAUGGACCCCUUCCCUUUGCAUGUCAGAUGUACCCAUUGUGGUUCUGCCUGCAGUAGGUGUGGUGUAAGCACUCUUUAUUUCCUCCAGGCAGAACAAGUUGGGCCCAUUUUCCACCAGAGUGGGUGAUCUUGCAGCAAAAUAGAUAAAGGACGAGCACUUCUCUGUCAAGAUGACUAAAAUCAAGAUUUCCCAGCUGUGCUCUGAGUGGUAAGUGGAACAACCUUCAAAGUAGAAUUGGUAGAAACUUCACCAAUGGCAACACUAAAAUGAGACCAUACACAGACAUGUACAAGCUGUAAUAAAUGAUCAGGGAAACACCA
rnacentral:lncRNA from 1 species